rnacentral:rRNA from 1 species
UACGUAGGGCGCAAGCGUUGUCCGGAAUUAUUGGGCGUAAAGAGCUCGUAGGCGGUCUGUUACGUCUGCUGUGAAAACCCGGGGCUUAACCCCGGGCUUGCAGUGGAUACGGGCAGACUAGAGGCAGGUAGGGGAGAAUGGAAUUCCCGGUGUAGCGGUGAAAUGCGCAGAUAUCGGGAAGAACACCCGGUGGCGAAGGCGGUCUC